rnacentral:rRNA from 1 species
CGUUCGCUCAGCCAAAAAUCGUCUGUUUUGGCCUGUUUUUGGGCUGUUUUGGCCAGUUUUUGGGCAGUUCUUGCGUGCUUCUGACGACGCGACGUGGCAAAAAAACGUCAAUAAUAAUGGCCAGUUUUGGUCUAUUUUUAUCCUGUUUAUGGGCUGUUUUUCCUUCGAUUGAAAUCUUCUUCUUCCUUGUGUGGACAACAAUGCGUAGCUCUGUACUUCUUCGUGCACGGUGGUGUCUUGUCGUCGAUUGCCUUGUUUGAUCGGCCACUUGAGUCUUUGUUGCUCGUGGUUGGCGAUGGGCUGUCCGAUGGGAUGAUUGUGUCGGCAUGUGAGCAUUGAUGGAUUUGUAUGCCGCGGUGGGCUCCCUGUUUUGUGCAGUCGACCACCGACGUUGCAAGUCUCUUCAAUGGUACUCUAUUCGAAUGGAGAUGUGUGUGUUGCCUGUACAAUCUACCAAGUUCCUUUGGAAAUAGACAUUGUUUACCUCGCUUAUCCACUUCUCAUGUCCUAUACGAAUGAGGAGUGUCGAUGUCCGUGCACCUUGUGUGUCCUCGAACGAUGUCAUGUCUCAGACCUCUCGUCUCGUAGUUGGACUUUGGGACGGGUCGGUCGGUCCGCCUCGCGGUGUGCACCGGUCAUCCCAUCCCUUCUGUCGGCGAUGCGUGCCUGGCCUUAACUGGCUGGGUCGUGCCUCCGGCGUUGUUACUUUGAAGAAAUUAGAGUGCUCAAAGCAAGCCCACGCUCUGGAUACAUUAGCAUGGGAUAACAUCACAGGAUUUCGGUCCUAUUGUGUUGGCCUUCGGGAUCGGAGUAAUGAUUAAGAGGGACAGUCGGGGGCAUUCGUAUUUCAUAGUCAGAGGUGAAAUUCUUGGAUUUAUGAAAGACGAACCACUGCGAAAAGCAUUUGCCAAGGAUGUUUUCAUUAAUCAAGAACGAAAGUUGGGGGCUCAAGACGAUCGAUACCGUCCUAGUCUCAACCAUAAACGAUGCCGACCAGGGAUCGAUUUGAUGUUGUUUUAGGACUCCGCCGGACCUUUAUGAGAAAUCAAAGUCUUUGGGUUCCGGGGGAGUACGGUCCACAAGGCUGAAAACUUAAUGGAAUUGACGGAAGGGCACCAUCAGAGGGAGCCCCGCGCAAUUUGACUCAACACGGGAAACUUACCAGGUCCGGACAUAGCAAGGAUUGACGACCUGAGAGCUCUUUUCUUGAUUCUAUGGGUGGUGGUGCAUGGCCGUUCUUAGUUGGUGGAGCGAUUUGUCUGGUUAAUUCAGCACGAACGAGACCGCAGCCUGCUAACUAGCUUCACGCGGAGGCAUCCCUCCGCGGCCAGCUUCUUAGAGGGACUAUGGACGUUUAGGCCACGGAUGUUUGAGGCAAUAACAGGUCUGUGAUGCCCUUAGAUGUUCUUCGCAUCGCCGCGUGCUACACCGAUGUAUUCAACGAAGUCUAUAGCCUUGGCCGACGGGCCCGGUAAUCUUUGAAAAUUUCAUCGUGAUGGGGAUAGAUCAUUGCAAUUGUUGGUCUUCAACGAGGAAUUCCUAGUAAGCGAAGUCAUCAGCUCACGUUGACUACGUCCCUGCCCUUUGUACACACCGCCCGUCGCUCCUACCGAUUGAAUGGUCCGGUGAAGUGUUCGGAUCGAGGCGACGGGGCGUUUACCCGCCCGUGACGUCGCGAAAGUCCACUGAACCUUAUCAUUUUAAGGAAGGAGAAGUCGUAACAAGGUUUCCGUAGGUGAACCUGCGGAAG